GUGCUCGCUUCGGCAGCACUCACGCUGAGACAGGAGCGACCCAGAGAAGGGUGGCGUGGCCCCGGCGCACGGACGACACGCGGGUCUGUGAAGCGUUCUGUAUUUUU